rnacentral:rRNA from 1 species
UACGUAGGCAGCAAGCGUUGUUCGGAAUUACUGGGCGUAAAGAGUGUGUAGGCGGUGCUCUAAGUUCGGUGUGAAAUCUCCUGGCUCAACUGGGAGGGUGCGCCGGAAACUGGGGUGCUGGAGCGCGGGAGAGGAAAGCGGAAUUCCUGGUGUAGCGGUGAAAUGCGUAGAUAUCAGGAGGAACACCGGCGGUGUAGACGGCUUUCUGGACCGUAGCUGACGCUGAGACACGAAAGCGUGGGGAGCAAACAGG